rnacentral:lncRNA from 14 species
CUUUCGCUUCCCGGAGCGGCGGGGCCGGAGCGGGGCUGGGGCCGGUGCGGGCGCUCGGCGCAGCCAUGGUGAGCAGCACGGUGCGGGUCGGGGGGCUCCCCCCAGACCUGCCCCCCGACAGGAUGGUUGACAAGCUGACCAUCCACUUCCUGCGCUCCCGCAACGGCGGCGCAGAGAUCACCGACGUGCAGGUGGUGCCGGGCGGGCGCCAGGCUUGUGCCCUCGUCACCUUCGAGACACCGGAAGUGGCCCAGAGGAUCCUGAAGGUAAAGAAUCACAUCCUGUCCAUCGGAGGGGAGAAUUACCCGCUGGAAGUGACGGCGCACACCGCAGAGCUGAGCCUCGAUGAGAUCUUCUUAUAUGCUUCUGUGAUAGUUGACUAUGGCAAACUUCCUACUGGAAAAGCCCUCUUGAGGAACCUGUAUAAAGGCUACAGCAAUGUGCAGCUCAACUUUGACUCCAAGAAUACCCACUGCAUAGUCAAGGGGCCGUUCACUGAGCUGCAGGCCUUCAGCAGAGAGCUGCUGGGCAGCCUGAACCUCAAGAGCCAAGCUGCUGGAGAGAUCCUCCUGCCAGAUCCCAGCCAUGUGGCCAAAGAGACCAGAAUGGCUGAUCCACAGCAAGAGCCCGACUCUGCUGAGUCAGCACAAGACACAGCAAAGCAGCCGAACUGGGACCAGGCAUGUGAAGACGCAGGUACAGCUCCAUCACCCUGGGGACCUGUGGAUGGGAAAGCUGUGGAGCACCUGGAGGACUUUUCCCUAGUGAUGGACUCAGACAUUUACUUGUACAUGCAGAGGUUCUGUGCUGCCAAGUACCAGGGUGUGCUACAGCAGCAUCGGGUGGAUGUGGUGGAUGUCAGCAGUGAUGGCAUCACCACGCUGUACUUGCAGCCUGCUGCGGGGAUGGCUGGGGACACGGCUGCCUUGCGAGAGGCCUGCUUGGCCCUGCAGGAGCUUUACCAGCAGCUGGAGGUGAGCUUGCGCAAGGAGAAGAUCACCAAGGGAGGACUGGGUAUGGACAGCCAGGCUCUGAGGGCACUGACACAAGAGCUGCAGCAGCUGUAUCCCCAGUUGCUCUGCCAUGAGGAUGUGAAGCAGCUUUAUCUUAUUGGAAACCUUGUUGAUGUUUCUGAGGCCAAGCAGUAUCUUCAGGAUUUCAGUGCCAGAAGAGGUGCUGCACAGGCCACGGCCAGCAGCUCCCUGCCCUCACAGCCAACAACCUCCCACACCACAGAGGAUGCACUGCACAAGCCCAAGGAGCCUGCAGGCACCUCAGCCUCAAGGUUCAGCCCAGGCAGGCCAAAGCAGGGACGUGAGCUCAAGCUGCCUGCCGGCUUCAGCACCAUGAAGGCUGAGAGGUCCCCUGACCCCCCACCGGUGGGGCAGGCACUGCCUUCUGGUAAACACCCACUGCAAACAGGUGCUCUAAGUCUAGGUGACCUAAUGGCACGGACCCAGUGGUACCAGCCUGGUGGCUCUACAGCAGCUGUGGAUUUGGGCUCAGCAGCAGAGUCUCAGCAGAAGGACCCCAAAGAAUGGGAGCAGAUGAAAGGAGGUGCCAGGCUUACAAGACACGAGGCUCUGUCUGCCUUUGGGGGCAAAGACAACAGAGACUCUAGAGGCUCAGGUCCCAUCAAGCANNNNNNNNNNNNNNNNNNNNAA